AUGGCCGAUGGGCCUCCAGCUCCAUGGCCGGCGCGGUCCCUCCUUGCUGCAGCUUGCCCCUCCUCCAUGGAUGGCCUGCACCGGCUGCCGGAACUCGUUGAGGUGGUACCCUUCAUCCUCGACCUUCAAUUACAGGUUACCAACGACGCUACAAAGAGAAAGCUCAGCGUAUUCCUGCUGGAGCUGGUGUCCGUGCAAGAGCCUGCUUCAGGGAGUCCUUCCUCGUUGACACCGCCGGAGGCGCUCACGAAACUGGCGCUGAAGUGCAUGACCAAUGACCAUGCGGCUCCUAACAUGUCUUCAGUUGCCGCCAAGGUCUACAAGCUCUUCCUAGAGGUGUAG
rnacentral:rRNA from 1 species